rnacentral:rRNA from 1 species
GACGAACGCUGGCGGCGUGCCUAAUACAUGCAUGUAGAACGCUGAAGGAGGAGCUUGCUUCUCUGGAUGAGUUGCGAACGGGUGAGUAACGCGUAGGUAACCUGCCUGGUAGCGGGGGAUAACUAUUGGAAACGAUAGCUAAUACCGCAUAAGAGUAGAUGUUGCAUGACAUUUGCUUAAAAGGUGCAAUUGCAUCACUACCAGAUGGCCCUGCGUUGUAUUAGCUAGUUGGUGGGGUAACGGCUCACCAAGGCGAAGAUACAUAGCCGACCUGAGAGGGGGAGCGGCCACACUGGGACUGAGACACGGCCCAGACGCCUACGGGAGGCAGCAGGAGGGAAUCUUCGGCAAUGGACGGAAGUCUGACCGAGCAACGCCGCGUGAGUGAAGAAGGUUUUCGGAUCGUAAAGCUCGGUUGUAAGAGAAGAACGAGUGUGAGAGUGGAAAGUUCACACUGUGACGGUAUCUUACCAGAAAGGGAGGGCUAACUACGUG